AAUCACAGAGAAUGAACAUUUCUAUUCACCUACUGUGAACUUUGGUGACCACCUGGAGGCAACAGAAUAAUACACUGUACUUCAGAGAGAAGAGGAACCACAGUUCACAACCUGAGAGUUACUGAAAUCCUUAAGAGAAGGUUGCUGUCACACCACCAAGAAGAAGCAUAAAGAACAAAGUACAGCUAUAAAAGUUUUAUUUGUGGUUAAAAUGUUGGACCAACUUGAACAGUAAUGCAAAGAAAAAAACCAAGAGAAAGGAAACUGAUAAAAAGACUAAGUCUGUAUUGUUACCUGCUAAAAA